rnacentral:rRNA from 1 species
GAGUUUGAUCCUGGCUCAGGAUGAACGCUGGCGGUAUGCUUAACACAUGCAAGUCGAACGAUGUGGGGACGUAGCAAUGCUACGUCUGUACAUAGUGGCGGACGGGUGAGUAACGCGUGAGAAUCUAGCUUCAGGUUCGGGACAACAUUGGGAAACCGAUGCUAAUACCGGAUGUGCCGAGAGGUGAAAGGCUAGCCGCCUGAAGAAGAGCUCGCGUCUGAUUAGCUAGUUGGUGGUGUAAGGGACUACCAAGGCGACGAUCAGUAGCUGGUCUGAGAGGAUGAUCAGCCACACUGGAACUGAGACACGGUCCAGACUCCUACGGGAGGCAGCAGUGGGGAAUUUUCCGCAAUGGGCGAAAGCCUGACGGAGCAAUACCGCGUGAGGGAGGAAGGCUCUUGGGUUGUAAACCUCUUUUCUCAAGGAAGAAGUUCUGACGGUACUUGAGGAAUCAGCAUCGGCUAACUCCGUGCCAGCAGCCGCGGUAAUACGGAGGAUGCAAGCGUUAUCCGGAAUGAUUGGGCGUAAAGCGUCCGCAGGUGGUUGUGUGUGUCUAUUGUCAAAGCAUCAUGCUUAACAUGAUAAAGGCAGUAGAAACUACACGACUAGAGUGCGUUCGGGGCAGAGGGAAUUCCUGGUGUAGCGGUGAAAUGCGUAGAGAUCAGGAAGAACACCGGUGGCGAAAGCGCUCUGCUAGGCCGCAACUGACACUGAGGGACGAAAGCUAGGGGAGCGAAUGGGAUUAGAUACCCCAG